UACGUAGGGGGCAAGCGUUGUCCGGAAUCAUUGGGCGUAAAGCGCGUGUAGGCGGCCCGGUAAGUCCGCUGUGAAAGUCGGGGGCUCAACCCUCGAAUGCCGGUGGAUACUGUCGGGCUAGAGUGCGGGAGAGGCGAGUGGAAUUCCUGGUGUAGCGGUGAAAUGCGCAGAUAUCAGGAGGAACACCGGUGGCGAAGGCGGGUCUCUGGGCCGAUAUUGACGCUGGAGGUGCGAAAGCGUGGGGAGCAAACAGG
rnacentral:rRNA from 1 species